rnacentral:rRNA from 1 species
UAGCUAGUUGGUGAGGUAAAGGCUUACCAAGGCGACGAUCUGUAGCGGGUCUGAGAGGAUGAUCCGCCACACUGGAACUGAGACACGGUCCAGACUCCUACGGGAGGCAGCAGUGGGGAAUUUUGGACAAUGGGGGCAACCCUGAUCCAGCCAUGCCGCGUGAGUGAAGAAGGCCUUCGGGUUGUAAAGCUCUUUCGGCCGGGAAGAAAUCGCAUGGGCCAAUACCCUGUGUGGAUGACGGUACCGGAAUAAGAAGCACCGGCUAACUACGUGCCAGCAGCCGCGGUAAUACGUAGGGUGCGAGCGUUAAUCGGAAUUACUGGGCGUAAAGCGUGCGCAGGCGGUUUUGUAAGACAGGCGUGAAAUCCCCGGGCUUAACCUGGGAACUGCGUUUGUGACUGCAAGGCUAGAGUACGGCAGAGGGGGGUGGAAUUCCACGUGUAGCAGUGAAAUGCGUAGAGAUGUGGAGGAACACCAAUGGCGAAGGCAGCCCCCUGGGUCGAUACUGACGCUCAUGCACGAAAGCGUGGGUAGCAAACAGGAUUAGAUACCCUGGUAGUCCACGCCCUAAACUAUGUCAACUAGGUGUUGGGUGGGUAAAACCAUUUAGUACCGUAGCUAACGCGCGAAGUUGACCGCCUGGGGAGUACGGCCGCAAGGUUAAAACUCAAAGGAAUUGACGGGGACCCGCACAAGCGGUGGAUGAUGUGGAUUAAUUCGAUGCAACGCGAAAAACCUUACCUACCCUUGACAUGCCAGGAACUUGCCAGAGAUGGCUUGGUGCCCGAAAGGGAGCCUGGACACAGGUGCUGCAUGGCUGUCGUCAGCUCGUGUCGUGAGAUGUUGGGUUAAGUCCCGCAACGAGCGCAACCCUUGUCGUUAAUUGCCAUCAUUUAGUUGGGCACUUUAACGAGACUGCCGGUGACAAACCGGAGGAAGGUGGGGAUGACGUCAAGUCCUCAUGGCCCUUAUGGGUAGGGCUUCACACGUCAUACAAUGGUCGGUACAAAGGGUUGCCAAGCCGCGAGGCGGAGCCAAUCCCAGAAAGCCGAUCGUAGUCCGGAUUGCAGGCUGCAACUCGCCUGCAUGAAGUCGGAAUCGCUAGUAAUCGUGGAUCAGCAUGUCACGGUGAAUACGUUCCCGGGUCUUGUACACACCGCCCGUCACACCAUGGGAGCGGGUUCCGCCAGAAGUAGGUAGCCUAACCGCAAGGGGGGCGCUUACCACGGCGGGGUUCGUGACUGGGGUGAAGUCGUAACAAGGUAGCCGUAGGGGACCUGCGGCUG